ensembl:lncRNA
GUACUUGCACCCUCUUAUAUACUUAAAUUAACUCCCCCUUUAGAUUUUUAAUUUAUUUUUUAGUUUUAUUUAUUUGAGCUAAAGAGUAUUAAUUCAUUUAGUCUUGAGUUAUCCCCAGUUCUGUUUCCUAGAAUCCAGUUGUUUUUAAUAUUCUACUGAGCUCUCUUCAAGUUUAUAUCUUUCACUACAGUGCCCAAAAUUGGAAAAAAAGAAAUCCAACUGAGACUUUAACAGAGCAGGGGGGAGCAGGAGAAUUGUUUACUGGCUACUUGCCUAUUCUAUACCUUUCAAUAUGGUGUCAUAUUUAAUUAAGGUGUAUACCUUUUUCCAGAGGUGUGGCACUCUCGAUCCACUUUUAUAUUGUAAUUCAACUACAACUUUUUCAAUGAAACAGGUUAUUUUAUAAAUCCCUAUUUUUAGCCUUAAAAUUUUGGAAUCUUUGAAAGUCUUGUAAAUCACUACAACUUGCUUCUUUGCCCUAGUGAUUACAUACACCAGUUAUUUCCUCCUGGAAAAACGCUGUAUCACAAAAUCUCAUGUUCACAGAGCAGUUAAUUUGUAUAAGCUGAAAGAUCCUGAAAACAAGUUGAACUCCGUGGAGAGCAUUUGAAUUAAGACUUAAGUAGUAGAUGUUCCCUCUACGUAGGAGCAAUUUGCGUGCCACAGCUGAUAUCCAGUACUUAGAAUUCACUGAAUCUUCCCCUAGGUAAAAUUCAUUUGUGGAAAUGGCCUGAUAAAUAGAGAUUUCAGCAUAAUUAAUGUGAAAGCUUUUAAAAAAUGGGGUACGUAGGGAUAUCUGGAAGUCAAUCUAGUCUAUCUUCUGUGUAAAAUGAGAUUAACAUUAGUGUGUUUUUUUCUGACUGUGCCUUGUAAACCUUGAAAGACAGAGAUUUUGCUACUUCUCAGUCUGUUUCAGUCUUAAGUUACUUGCAUAAUGAGAAAGCUUUUAUUAUAGUUCUGUUUGAAUUUCCAAAGCUGCAAUUUGUGGCAACUGCUUCUCAUUGUCUGUUGUUACAGAGAUAGCAGUGAGGUCCUAGUACAGGCUGCCCAGAGAAGCUGUGGAUGCUCUGUCCCUGGAGGUGUUCAAAACCAGGUUGGAUGGGGCCCUGGGCAACCUGGUGCAGCACCAGAUCUGGAGGGUUAAGGACAGCCAAUUUCAAGAGGAAUCUAAGACUGAAUUCAGAUGGAUCUUCUGUACAAAAAGAAGUACAGGGUGGAUGCUAGGAAUAAUGAUUAUCUAAUUUUGUAAUUUUGUAG